GAGAGAGCACAAGAAGAGAGGGAGGCACAGAAUCCGAAGCAGGCUCCAGGCUCUGAGCUGUCAGCACAGAGCCCGACGCGGGGCUCAGAACUCGCAAACGUCAAGAUCAGGCCCUGAGCCGAAGGUGGACGCUUCACCCGCUGAGCCACCCAGACGCCCUGGGAAUUUGCUGAAUUUUAUUGAGUGCUCCAGGUCAUUCCAAUGAUCGGGCAAGUUUGCAAACGCACAUCCCGGAGGCAGGGCAUCCCCUCUUUACCGAAAGAUCCCAGAGCUCUAGGAUGGGGCUUCACGACUGCCGCUGCCUCUAACCAGAAAACAACCCCCUGUGACAAGAAACUCAUCUUUACCUCGGGAAGCAAGACUGCUUCCUGCUAGGGCCCCAGAGAAACCAGCACUGCCAGCCCAGCAGCCUCACUGCCAGCCCGGGGGCCACGCAGCCAGCCAGACACUGGCAAGAGGAAGAGUUUGACUUCCCUUGUAGAAGGAAGUGGCUGAUCUGGGGCCUCCUCCCAACAUGUCCCCACCUGCCAACGUUUGGUCCACUCUGACCCUCCCUGGGGCAGUCAUGCCCCAGAAGGGACUCACACGGGGACAGCUGGCAAAGGCCGUUAACUCGGAGGAGCAAGGAUCACAUCCCCCGACUUCCCUUAACUUCCCAGUGGCAGCUAGCAAUCUAGGACUCAGUGAGGGGGGACGGGAGCAGAAUGUUUGGGAAGGAAAUGUCAGCCUCUCACAUGCAUGUCUUCUGCUGCAGUCAGGGAGCAGUGAGCUGGCUCACAGUGAGUUUGGGCUUCCCUGGAAGCUGCUUUCCACUUUUAGGAAUUCACUUGGGGCCCUCAGGCUCCUCACAGGAACCCCGAGAUGGACACGCUGAGGCCAGCUGGCUACCAUUAUUCCCACUUCUCAGAUGAGGCCAACUGAGACCCUGGGACAAACCUACCCCAAACACCCCCUCCAAAUGAUUACAGGCUGGUGGCAGCAGCCGCUACGAGGAAAGGCUUUGGAAUUUGACGCAAGACACUUAUUUUCUCAGAGGUUCAGACACUUUAGCGAUUGACCCAAAGCCCCAUAACCAUACAGGGUUAUGCAGAGCAGGGAUCGGCUGGAGGCUUCCCCGCCCUCAGCCCCAUUCUUCUAGCAUACCCAGUGCUUCCCCCAAGAGACUGGUAACUUACGUGACCAAAGGUCUUUGGAGAUCACUAAGAAGUCUUCAACUGCCCUACAGUCUCCCAAGAGAAAACAAGGUCUUGAUUUGGGUGAUCUUUAGACACUGCACUGGAAGCCUGAGUUAGUCAUACUUUCCAGUCACAGAGCUGAUCAUCUGCCUCCUGCCCAGAGUUGGGAGGGAAUCAUCCAUCCAGCUACGCUUUGAGAGGGCUCCCUCAAGGCCAGACCUUCGUCCACAUGCACAGUGAGGUCCAGAACAUACAACAGUGGGCUCCAUCCGCAGUAACUGGGGACCAGGGUCCUGGCUGGGUGAGCCCAUGACUCUCUUUUCCCUCUCUGAGCCCCAGUUCCUGUUAGAACGGGAAGACUGGACCUCAACAGUGGUUCUCAACCUUGGCCACACAUUGAGAUCAGUGGGAUCCCUGGAGAACCUUACCAAUACCAGUGCCUGAUUCUGGUUUAAGCAGUCUCGGGUACAGCCUGGGCAUUUGGGUUGUUAAAGGCUCCCAGGGGAUCCUAAUGUGCCGUGAACACUGCCAACCAUGAGAAGGAACCAUUAGCUUAGAAGCUCUCCAAGCCCUCUUCACCUCUGGAAUAUCUCAGAGUCCGAACUGACUGAGCGUAUUAACCUCCAACCCCCACUUGUUGGGAAGGGGUGUGCGUGAGUGUCAGGGAGAAGGCUGUUGGGAGCGGAGGGAUGUAGACUCAAUUUAUAUGAGAAAAAUGAGUGGAAAUCGAUUUUGUAAAAGAAUAAUCUAGCUUGACGUAAUAA